rnacentral:rRNA from 1 species
GACGAACGCUGGCGGCGUGCUUAACACAUGCAAGUCGAACGGAAAGGCCCUGCUUUUGUGGGGUGCUCGAGUGGCGAACGGGUGAGUAACACGUGAGUAACCUGCCCUUGAUUUUGGGAUAACUUCAGGAAACUGGGGCUAAUACCGGAUAGGAGCUCAUGUUGCAUGGUGGGGGUUGGAAAGUUUCGGCGGGUUGGGAUGGACUAGCGGGUGAUCAGCUUGUUGGUGGGGUAGUGGCUUACCAAGGAUUUGACGGGUCGCCGGCCUGAGAGGGUGACCGGCCACAUGAGGACUGAGGUACGGCCCAGAGUCCUACGGUAGGCAGCAGUGGGGAAUAUUGCACAAUGGGCGGAAGUCUGAUGCAGCAACGCCGCGUGCGUGAUGACGGCCUUCGGGUUGUAAACCGCUUUCGCCUGUGACGAAGCGUUAGUGACGGUAAUGGGUAAAGAAGCACCGGCUAACUACGUG